CGGCGGCGGCGGAGCCCGGGUGCUGAGGCGGCGACGCGAGGGCUCACGGAUGGCGGCGGCGGCGGCGGCUGCUGGACUCCCGGGAAGGAGCUACCCUCUUGGUCCUAGGAGAGGACACUCCUUCUGAAAACACAUGAACAACUGGAAACUUAGUUUUUGGAGUCUGUGAUUCUGGCACUUGGGAACUGGGAGAAGACUCACUGUUCAAGUGGAUACAUCUUCCAUAACUUCCUCACCAGUGUUCCUUCAGGAUUCCCCUGUAAAACACCGCCCACUACAUUGUAGCAACUGAUAAUCCUCAACACUACUGCCAAUUAUCUACCUGAGGGCUGUGCCCCCUCCACCACCAGCACCACUGGCCCUAUUUUCUUUUCUUUCUUCCAGAAACUGGCUAGGCUUCAAUAACCUAAUGUAGUAGUGAUCACUGAGUGAUCCUUUUGUUUAGGAAAGUGGGAAUCGGUCACUUCUCCAAAUAAAUGGGGUCAACACAAAGAAUGGGGAGGUGUAGUGCAUGUUGGGGGAGGUUCACCAUAUUUUUGGGGAAUCUAGCAUGGGAGCGUUGCCCAGGGAUGGUAGUUAUAAAGGAAUGCAACUACAUUGCCCCCUAGUGGUUGUAAUGCAUAAACGUUAAAAAGAGACCUAAUUGUUUAAAGCCCCCAGUAUAAAAAUGGGCAGCAUUCCAUUGAGCAAAGACUCAUGUGGUCAAAGUCCUUUAGCAUCCAGACACUCUUCCCAGCACAGGUGCUACCACAAUGAGCAAGACAUGGCCCCUGUUUUCAAGAAACACACACUAUAGAAGGAGACAGUAUUCUUUUCCCUAUCAUUUCAACACAUGAUUGAGGAAAAUAAAAAUGAUACAAGUGGGUCCGGUGUUGUGGCAUAGCAGGUUAAGCCGCAGCCUGCAGUGCCGGCAUCAAGACCCGGCCGCUCCACUUCCUAUCCAGCUCUUUGCUAUGGCCUGGGAAAGCACUGGAAGAUGGCCCAAGUCCUUGGGCCCCUGCACCCACAUGGGAGACCCGGAAGAACUCCUGGCUCUUGGCUUCGGAUCAGUGCAGCUCUGGCCAUUGCGGCCAAUUAGGGAGUGAACCAACAGAUGGAAGACCUCUCUCAGUAACUCUGACUUUCAAAUAAAUCAAUCUUUAACAAAAAUGA